AGUGGACGUGGCCGUAAAAGGACAUAUGAGAAAUGUUGUUCCGUUAACUCAAUAAAAAGUUGGAGCCUUUUUUUCUGACUGACGGCCAGAUUAACAAUGUCGUAACGGUGACAACAUCGACUGAAUCACACAAUCAACCUUUGUGGCACCAAAUGCACUGAAAGUCACAGAUCAGAUGGAAUUCUGGAAAGAGGGUGCAAAGAAAAAAACAUCAGCCUGAAUUCCCUCCUGCUGUUUCUCAUCAGAGUGCUUUUCAACUUUGACUGGCAGAAUUACUGAACUUUAACACAACACAAACUCAUUUUUACUGUAUUGUUUUAUUUUAUUUACUUUAUUUUUUGUAAGGCCUGUUGUGCUUUUCAGUAUGUGUAUGUUUUGACCAGGGGAUGCCCUUUUCUCAGCUAGUGCAUUCUAGAGGUCAAGAUUUGUAAUUUGUAUUUUUAAAAAGUUUUUUAAAAAUGUUCAACAAUUAAAGAAUAUUAUCAGAACUAAUUCUCAUGAGUUAUUGUGAUUUUCAUGGGGUUGGGGUGGUAAAACUCAUGGAUUACAGUGCUGUAAGGCAAUUGGAUUGUUUUUUUACAGGUAUAAAAUGUUUAAACUAAAUGAAAAUAAACUCUACAGUAUUGAUACUGUAAAUGACAAUACGGUAAUUAUACUGUAAAUGAAAAUACAGUAAGGACAUUAUAGUACUGUAAA